rnacentral:rRNA from 1 species
UACGAAGGGGGCUAGCGUUGCUCGGAAUCACUGGGCGUAAAGCGCACGUAGGCGGCUUUUUAAGUCAGGGGUGAAAUCCUGGAGCUCAACUCCAGAACUGCCUUUGAUACUGAGAAGCUUGAGUCCGGGAGAGGUGAGUGGAACUGCGAGUGUAGAGGUGAAAUUCGUAGAUAUUCGCAAGAACACCAGUGGCGAAGGCGGCUCACUGGCCCGGUACUGACGUUGAGACGCGAAAGCUAGGGGAGCGAACAGG